AUGGAGUUUGCUGUGGCGGCAUUUAGCGCGGUAGCUGGCGUCGCCGUGUCGAAGCUAAACAGUGUGAAGGGGAGGCCGAACACCGAUGCUAGGAGCAUCAGUGCGGAUCUCAACUCGAUCAAAGCUACCAUGCUAGAUCAUGCAGACCAUGUCCGGCCUAUGAGUUUCUUGCGGGCAGAAUAUUUUGCACAACUGAGGGCCUUGGCAUGUGACAUCGAAGACUGUAUAGACUGCUUCAACGCCAAGAUGACGACCGAUGCUGAUUUUGCAGACGAAAUUGCCCGACUCAAGGAGAGCUCAAAGGAAACGACUGACCGGAUACAUAGGUUUGGCUUUAUUCCUGUACAAGGGGCUGCAGCACAAGAGUCUGCUGUUGCUGUCCCCGCAGAGAUUGAGAAUCUUCAGUGUUUGAUGAGGGGUAAACAUGAUGCUGAUUACCUCAACUGCUUGCUAUAUUUCUGCUUGUUCCCACCUAAUUAUCAUGUCAGGACUAAGCCCCUGAUGAGGAGAUGGACGGCGGAAGGGCUAGUAGGAAGAGAACAAUCCGCAGUCAGCAAUUUGGACAAGUUCAUGGAGUCCAGUAUCAUCAGGUCCACCCAGAAAAGCAGCAAUGGGAAGGUGAAGAGAUGCCAGCCUACUGGCGACACGAUUCGUCAGUACAUCUCCCAACGGUCCAUGUCCGAGAAUUUCAUACUGUUAUGUCACGGUGCGGCCGCCGAAAUGCCGGAGGGACACCCUCGCAGGCUAUCUGUGCAUCCUUGUGCAAAUGUCCCACUGAAUUUGCCUGAGAGUUUAUCUGAUGUCCGGACGUUGGCGGUAUUCUCUACUGCUGCGGGGGAUCUCGAUGAACAUGUUCUACGUUUUGCCAAUUAUAGAGUGCUGCGAGUGCUGGAUCUAAAAGAAUGUGCUCACCUGAGUGAUGGCCAUAUUCAGGCUAUCUACAACCAGGAGCUGAUGAAAUACCUGAGCAUCAAAUCGGGCAUCAUUGAUCGGGUUCCAAGGGAAAUCGGGAAGCUGAAUCAGCUAGAGACACUCGACCUGAGUGGAAGCCCAAAUUGUGACGAUGCUGAUGGAAUAGUGACGGUGUACAAAGAAGUCCUCCUGCUGCCCAAACUGAAGCACCUCCUUGGCAGGUUCCAGCUUUCUAGAAGGGAUUUCUUUGUUUGGAGAUCAGAUGUAGAGAGGUUUCUCAGAGCUAAUAAGAGUGUGCUGGAGACGCUGUCAGGAUUUGUCGUCGGUGGGAGAAAUGGAUUUCAACAGCUGCUGAGUCUUAUGCGGCGGUUGCGGAAGGUGAAGAUAUGGUGCAAAUCCGACGCAAGCCAAGAAAACCUGGGUGUUCUUUCAAGCGCCAUUACUCAAUACAUCAGCGAUGGCGCUGGAGCGCCUCAUCUUAAGCGGUCCCUGUCGAUCGACUUCGGAGCAUGCCCAAGAGAGUUCGUGGAUGAAAUAGACGCAGUGGCGGGCAAGCUCGAUUCGCUCAAGCUGCGUGGUCAAUUGAGCCGCCUCCCUCCGUUUGUUGCAGAGCUUAGUGCACUCGAGGAGCUCUGCCUUUGGUCGACUGGCCUGCGUUGGGAGGUUAUUCGAGAAGGGCUGAGCUUCGUGGGGGGACUGAAAUAUCUCAAGCUUAUUGAAGACAACCUCGGGCUCAUCGACAUAUGGUAUGAUCACCUCAUAAGCAUUGAGCGGUUAUCCAUCGUGUUCAAUGAUCCAAUGCUAAUAGACAUAACAAUCCAAGAUGGCGCGCUGCCUUGUCUUGUGUCGUUUCAUAUCAUCUGUCCACAGCUGCUCCUUCUUCCUGGAAGAGCACUUGGCAUCAAAAUCGCACACAUGACUCAGCUGAAUGAAGUCGCACUCCAUCCUGACGUCGACGUUGGAAUAAAAGCUGAAUGGCAACGCGCCGUCGACGGCCAUACAAAUAGGCCUGUACCCGUCCUUUUGUCCAUUGAAGGACCCUGA
rnacentral:rRNA from 1 species